UCCCCGUUGCCAGGGCAGUCUGAUUAGAAAAAUACAACUAACUAUAAGGGUUGCGCUCGUUGAUGGACUUAACCAAACAUCUCACGACACGAGCUGACGACGGCCAUGCAGCACCUGUCACUUGGUUCCAAAAGGCACACUCUGCUUUCGCAGUGCUUCCAAGGAUGUCAAGCCUGGGUAAGGUUCUUCGCUUAUCAUCGAAUUAAACAACACGCUCCACCGCUUGUGCGGGUCCCCGUCAAUUCCUUUAUGUUUUAGUCUUGCGACCGUACUCCACAGGCGGGAUGCUUAACGCGUUAGCUUCGCCACAUCCGGGGUCGAUACCGAAUACGGCUAGCAUCCAUAGUUUACGGCGUGGACUAC
rnacentral:misc_RNA from 1 species